CUAAGCUCUCUGUCUGUCAAUCCAGCUCGUCCCUGCGCUGUUGCAUCUUGUGCGAGUCGUGCAACUCUUGGUUUCAACUCUCGCCAUCAGAAUUGGGAGGUGGGUUUGCUUCGGAAUUCCGAGUAGACCUUGGGAUCGGUUGCAGGAAUGCGGUUUGGUUCGGAGGUUGAAUCGCUUUGAGUGGUUUUGGUGAUGGAGGUUGCGGCGUUGGUGCCUGCCGCGAUGGAGGAUGUGAUGAAGCCGUCGCCUCCACCCUCGCCUGUCGCUGCCACGAAGAAGUUGCGCAGGCUCAGGAAGGUUACGGAAGCCGAGAUUGCUAAGAAUGACGGGGUUGGUGAAUGUGAUGUGGUUCCUGAGAAGGUUGUUACUGAAGUUGACGAGGUACUGGAGCGUCGAGAGACGGUAGAGGAGAUUCUGAAGCGGUUUGGGAAGGGAGGAGAUGUGGUUGGCGAAGGAAGCAACAAGAGGAAAACUGUGCAGAGCACUAUUUCGACAUCUGUAUUGAGCAUGGCCCUACCCAGGGGGGCUACUGACAUGGAUGUUUCUGGUGCUAAGGAUGAUGCAGCCCUAGCGCACAUUGGAAACCCCACGUUGAAGGAUGGCGAAACCGAGAAUGGCGGUCUGGAACAUGAAAGCCAGGAGUUAGAGCGUGCUGCCGGUUCAGAAGAGUUGACAGAGGCUGUGCCUUUCAGCAAGAGGAAGAGAUCAAGCACUGUGAAGAGGUGCUCAUCUCACGUGACUGGCAUGACCUUCGGGAUUUCAGUUUUUGAGGAUGAGGGUGAUUCUAUGGAGAAGUCUGAUAAUGCGUCCGGAAAGGACAUUGAGGUUCAAUUAAGCGAUGAAGAAGAUUCGGUUCCAGAGAAGGGCCACGGGGUUGCUGACGAAGUUAUGAAGGAUGGAGCAGUGGAAGGAGAUUCCGAGAAGGGCAGCGAAGCCAACGAAGGAGGAGAAUAUGGAGGAUCAUGUAUUGGUUGGUCUGAUGGUUGGUCUGGAGAGGGGAUGUCCAUGGACAGCAUCUUGGAGAAAGCCAGGAAGAUGGUCGCUGACAUGUCUUCUGCAGGAACUGAAACUGCUAAACCUAUCGUUGAGAAGAAAAAAUCAAUUGAUGUCAUUGACGACCAACACGGGAAGAAGAAGAAGAGUAAGAAGGAAGAAGAGCGAUUAAAGAGGGAAGACAUCUACGCUGAAUCUCAGAGGCUUCUGCGAGAGUCGAAAGGAGUUGCAUUUGUGGCUCCAGCUCCAGUGAAGAAAUCGGUUUCUAGCGUACUGGAGAAAAUCCGUCAAAGGCGACAACAACUAGGUUGCAGUGGUUCAGCUUCAUUGCACAAGGAUGAGACAAAGGAGGUGUCACAACGAGCAAUCGAGGAUAGGAACAAUACUUAUGUAGAUCUGACAGUGGACGAGGAAGCGGAUAUCGAGAUCGAGAUCUUUGGCUCAACCACUGUGAGAAUCAAUAAAGCUAUCCAGAGUGCAGAAGUUGACGUAGAUCUACAAGAUGAUACUGCUGGUGACGAGAAGAGUCCACAAGCAGUUGAGAGUCAAGGAAGCCUGUUUCAAUCUGAGCUGGCAUCUAGCAGAUCAGAAGAAAAAGAUUUAACCUUGGAGUUGAGUCAGCGCAUCAUGAACACUCAGGAUCUGUUGUGUACCUCACAAUUGAGCCCUCCAACUGAGGCGAGUCUCGAAACUACAUCAUUUGAACCUGUGGUUGCUGUGGAUCCUGACUUCAUGUGCCUUGAAACUCAAGCACUGGAUUUGGAUGAGGAUUUGAUGCAUAGGACAAUGCAUGCCAAUCACCAGAAAGAAACCAAACAAGCAGGUCUACAGCCAUUAGCUCAAUCGGAGGUCUACACAACAGCAACACAUGUUAGGGGUUUGAUUGAUGACGAAGCCGAGGAUGAGGAUGAAGACAUUCUAGCAGAGAAUGCCGAAGAAGAAGAAGAAAUUAUUGGAGAUGAGGAGGAUUUGCAGGACCUUAUUGCAACCACUGAGAAGGAGAAGGCUGGUGAUAAAGCUCGGCGGGAUGCCCUGCACCGCAAGUGGCUUGAUCAGCAGGACACUGAACAGACUGAAGACAUACUAGAGCGGUUGCGAACAGGCCGGAGCACAAGAUGGAAAGGUCGGGACCGAGUUGUUAGCUGUUUAGAUGAAGAUGACCUUUUAAAUACUAGAGAGUCUGAAUCUCUGGACAAUAACAGCAGUCAAGCAGGAGGCAUUGAACCUUUUGCUGAGGAGGACCCUAUAGCUGAACUCUCAACUAGUUUAAGGCAGAAAAUGAAAAGUCAAGGCUUAGAAAUGGAUUGUCUUGACGAGUACGAGAAUGCCGAAGAGAUACCCACUGAGGAGCUUGCCGUUGAGGACGACGAGGAUCAUGAACAGUCGAUCAUAAGAAAACGUAUGCUAGAAGAAUCGGAGGAACAACUCGCGUUUAUGACCCCUGCUGAGGAUGAGAGCUCCAGGGAAGUUCUGCGUCUCAUUAACAAAGUAAAUGUGGGCAACUUGAAGACGAAAUCUAAUCCAGGUCAUUCUGAAUUUCGGCCAUUAGGUGGUACGCAUAAUUCAUCUCUUCCUUCGAAGCCAUCUUUUCUUGGACGAAGUGUGUCCUCAUCUUCACUACUUCCACCAGCUCAUAGGCAAGUCGGCUCAGGCGGAAGUUCACGUUCGUUUGUGUUUGGUCGCGAUGACAGUAAUAGUGGUUCUGAAUUCGCCCCUCCUCAAGUUCAGGAAUCAAAGAAUACUGGUAAUGCCAAUAAUGCACUUGCGAAGGGAGUUAGCUCAACAUCGACAAAAGAUAAGAUACGUCCUGCUCAAACGACAAGUGGACCUUCGCUUUUUCAGAUGCUCAAGCAACAGUCAAAAGAACUUGAGCAAAACGGGAAAGAGAGCGCAUCGACGAUUGCCAAGAAGUGGGGCAGCAACACUGAGGCAUUCUCAAUGUUUGCCAGUAAAAAAUCAGUUAACAUAUUGGGGCGCAAAUAGCAUCAUAUAGAGGAGAGAACUGAUUUUUGGAUAUUACAGCUUAUGCCCUCCCAUUGAGGGCAAUACUUCAAAGUAAAUUUCAAGCUAUGUAACGCACCCUGUACUAUAUUCCAGAUUGAAGUAAAGUAAACUAAUGAUUCCGGGACACGAAUUACGCCUCUCACCAAUAUUCGCUUGAUAAUUCACGAGCCAAUAUAUCUCGCCCCGAUCAAACGCUGCGUGUGGGAAGGACAUGAAAUGCUAAUUGAAGACGACUAGCCACCACAUUAUAAGCUAGACAGUGAAAGUCUAUUGCUUCCGCAUGUUACGGCCGGCCCGAAUAACUUCGUCGACAAGAAGAAGCUGGGCAGCAAUCACAGGUGCUGAAGAGAUGAUUUGUCGCUUAACGGAGUAAUUAUCGAAAAUUCCUUGUA